UGGGUUUGAUUAUUGCUUAUAUAGUGAUCA
rnacentral:piRNA from 1 species